UACGAAGGGGGCUAGCGUUGCUCGGAAUCACUGGGCGUAAAGCUCACGUAGGCGGCUUUCUAAGUCAGGGGUGAAAUCCCGGAGCUCAACUCCGGAACUGCCUUUGAUACUGGAAAGCUUGAGUUCGGGAGAGGUGAGUGGAACUGCGAGUGUAGAGGUGAAAUUCGUAGAUAUUCGCAAGAACACCAGUGGCGAAGGCGGCUCACUGGCCCGAUACUGACGCUGAGGUGCGAAAGCGUGGGGAGCAAACAGG
rnacentral:rRNA from 1 species